rnacentral:snoRNA from 1 species
AAGACUGUACUUUCAGGGAUCAGAUAUGGUCCAUUACUAGAGACUGUGCAGAGUAUCCGAGAUUACGAGGAUGAAAGGUAGCAUCCUCUCAGGAGUGUGAAGUGGUUCUUGGGCUUGCUUUUCUGUAGCUGUCUCUUGUCAUUGUUAAUCAUUCUUCUCUUCCUUUGGGGGAGGGGGGGAAGAAGACAGUUUGAGU